rnacentral:rRNA from 1 species
AUUGAACGCUGGCGGCAGGCCUAACACAUGCAAGUCGAGCGGAUGAAGGGAGCUUGCUCCUGGAUUCAGCGGCGGACGGGUGAGUAAUGCCUAUGAAUCUGCCUGGUAGUGGGUGAUAACGUCCGGAAACGGGCGCUAAUACCGCAUACUUCCUGAGGGAGAAAGUGGGGGAUCUUCGGACCUCACGCUAUCAGAUGAGCCUAGGUCGGAUUAGCUAGUUGGUGGGGUAAAGGCCUACCAAGGCGACGAUCCGUAACUGGUCUGAGAGGAUGAUCAGUCACACUGGAAGUGAGACACGGUCCAGACUCCUACGGGAGGCAGCAGUGGGGAAUAUUGGACAAUGGGCGAAAGCCUGAUCCAGCCAUGCCGCGUGUGUGAAGAAGGUCUUCGGAUUGUAAAGCACUUUAAGUUGGGAGGAAGGGCAGUAAGUUAAUACCUUGCUGUUUUGACGUUACCAACAGAAUAAGCACCGGCUAACUUCGUG